rnacentral:sRNA from 1 species
ACUAACGGCAAAAUGGAUCAAAAAGGAAGAGAUUCAUGGCAGAAGCUAGUGUUCAGGCACAGAAACAGUUGAAACACACAUAUUUUUCACGGUUACUUUUUGGAAAGACUACAAAAAUCUCUAUGAAAACAUACAACUUUUUUUAUUGAGACAUAUUUCAUAAGUAAUGAGGAAAUGUACUACUGAAUGAAAUCAACAAGUUUUUUUUGCUUCAAAAUCUUUUAUCUAAAAAAAGUAAUCACGAAAAAAUGCGUCCAAAAACGAACACAGUACUAGCCAUUAGCAGACACCAAGAAAAGAGCAGUUUGUUAAGUGUUUUGAUGAAAUCAUCUUCAUCGGAAAGCUACGAUGAAACCAACAACGUUCCUUUGAAUUUGUUAAGGAGGCAAGAUGCU